CUUCACCUACGGGACGCAGCAGUGGGGGAUAUUGCACAAUGGGGGGAACCCUGAUGCAGCGACGCCGCGUGGGCGAUGGAGUGCUUCGGCAUGUAAAGCCCUAUCAGCAGGGAAGAAAAUGACGGUACCUGACUAAGAAGCCCCGGCUAAAUACGUGCCAGCAGCCGCGGUAAUACGUAUGGGGCAAGCGUUAUCCGGACUUACUGGGUGUAAAGGGAGCGUAGGCGGCUUGGCAAGCCUGAUGUGAAAUACCGGGGCCCAACCCCGGGGCUGCAUUGGGAACUGCCAGGCUGGAGUGCCGGAGG
rnacentral:rRNA from 1 species